ACACUGUUCAUGGGUUACCGCGGCUGCUGGCACGGAGUUAGCCGGUGCUUCUUCUGCGAGUAACGUCACAGAUGUAAGGUACUUAACUUACACCCUUUCCUCCUCGCUGAAAGUGCUUUACAACCCGAAGGCCUUCUUCACACACGCGGCAUGGCUGCAUCAGGGUUUCCCCCAUUGUGCAAUAUUCCCCACUGCUGCCUCCCGUAGGAGUCUGGGCCGUGUCGUCAGUCCCAGUGUGGCUGAUCAUCCUCUCAGACCCAGCUAGGGAUCGUCGCCUAGGUGAGCCUUUACCUCACCUACUAGCUAAUCCCACCUGGGCUUAUCCAUCAGCGCAAGGCCCGAAGGUCCCCCUGCUUUCCCCCGUAGGGCGUAUGCGGUAUUAGCAGUCGUUUCCAACUGUUAUCCCCCCACAAAUGGGCAAAUUCCCAGGCAUUACUCAACCCGUCCGCCGCUCGUCAUCUUCAAAAAGCAAGCUUUUGAAAUGUUACCGCUCGACUUGCAUGUGUUAGGCCUGCCGCCAGCGUUCAA
rnacentral:rRNA from 1 species